GACGAACGCUGGCGGCGUGCUUAACACAUGCAAGUCGUACGGUAAGGCCCUUUCGGGGGUACACGAGUGGCGCACGGGUGAGUAACACGUGAGUAACCUGCCCACAACUUUGGGAUAACGCUAGGAAACUGGUGCUAAUACUGGAUAUGUGCUCCUGCUGCAUGGUGGGGGUUGGAAAGCUCCGGCGGUUGUGGAUGGACUCGCGGCCUAUCAGCUUGUUGGUGGGGUAGUGGCCUACCAAGGCGGCGACGGGUAGCCGGCCUGAGAGGGUGACCGGCCACAUUGGGACUGAGAUACGGCCCAGACUCCUACGGGAGGCAGCAGUGGGGAAUAUUGCACAAUGGGCGCAAGCCUGAUGCAGCAACGCCGCGUGCGGGAUGACGGCCUUCGGGUUGUAAACCGCUUUCAGCAGGGACGAAGCUUUUUGUGACGGCACCUGCAGAAGAAGCACCGGCUAACUACGUG
rnacentral:rRNA from 1 species